rnacentral:lncRNA from 1 species
CCCUUUAAAGAUUGGAAGAGGUUGAGAAUUUGAAUUGGUGUUUACUGUCAUUUUUUCUUAUCUGAAGAUGAUGAAUUUCCCUUUUACUCUUUUAAAUCUCUCUUUCUCACCCUCUCUCUGGCUCCCAAGUGAAGAAACCCGGCUACUAUGGAUACCAAAAAUGUUAGAAAAGAAAGUAGGCAAAGUGAGAAAGAAAAACGUUGCUUUUACUUCUUCAU